rnacentral:rRNA from 1 species
UGAGGAAUAUUGGUCAAUGGGCGAGAGCCUGAACCAGCCAAGUCGCGUGAAGGAAGACAGUCCUAAGGAUUGUAAACUUCUUUUAUACGGGAAUAACGGGCGAUACGAGUAUUGCAUUGAAUGUACCGUAAGAAUAAGCAUCGGCUAACUCCGUGCCAGCAGCCGCGGUAAUACGGAGGAUGCGAGCGUUAUCCGGAUUUAUUGGGUUUAAAGGGUGCGUAGGUUGUUCGGUAAGUCAGCGGUGAAACCUGAGCGCUCAACGUUCAGCCUGCCCUUGAAACUGCCGGGCUUGAGUUCAGUGGCGGCAGGCGGAAUUCGUGGUGUAGCGGUGACAUGCAUAGAUAUCACGAGGAACUCCGAUUGCGAAGGCAGCUUGCCAUACUGCGACUGACACUGAAGAACGAAGGCGUGGGUAUCAAACAGG